UACGAAGGGGGCUAGCGUUGCUCGGAAUCACUGGGCGUAAAGCGCACGUAGGCGGAUCUUUAAGUCAGGGGUGAAAUCCCGAGGCUCAACCUCGGAACUGCCCUUGAUACUGGGGAUCUCGAGUCCGGAAGAGGUUGGUGGAACUCCGAGUGUAGAGGUGAAAUUCGUAGAUAUUCGGAAGAACACCAGUGGCGAGGGCGGCCAACUGGUCCGGCACUGACGCUGAGGUGCGAAAGCGUGGGGAGCAAACAGG
rnacentral:rRNA from 1 species